UACGGAGGGUGCAAGCGUUAUCCGGAUUCACUGGGUUUAAAGGGUGCGUAGGUGGGCUGGUAAGUCCGUGGUGAAAUCUCCAAGCUUAACUUGGAAACUGCCGUGGAUACUAUUAGUCUUGAAUCUCGUGGAGGUAAGCGGAAUAUGUCAUGUAGCGGUGAAAUGCUUAGAUAUGACAUAGAACACCGAUAGCGAAGGCAGCUUGCUACACGAGUAUUGACACUGAUGCACGGAAAGCGUGGGGAUCAAACAGG
rnacentral:rRNA from 1 species